ensembl:lncRNA LINC02362 long intergenic non-protein coding RNA 2362
AGAACCCCAGCUGCAAGUGAGACUGGAAAAAUGGCUCUCAGAGUUCCCGCCUCUGCAGUAGAGGAAGACACUCCAGAAGGAGUUGAGAAUGGGUGCUGAGUGCCUCUUCAGGAUGUCUGUCACACCUCAGGAAACCUGCCAGGAAUACCAAAGGGAGUGAAAAAUCCAAGGUUGGGAAGCCCUGGGACAUUGAAGUUACAACUGGACGAUAAAAACAGAGUUUUUUCCUUGUGACGUGACCACUGUGAUGUAAAGCUGUAUCUCCUUCAUUUCAUCAAGAAAUUCUUAAAAUUCUCCCCCAACGUGCUUUCAUCUUUCCCUUCAUUGCCAACUCUGAAUACUUGUCAUUGAAAUUAGGGCCCACCUGGAUAAUCCAUGAUGAUCUCAUCUCAAGAUCCUUAACUUAAUGACAUCUGCAGAGACUGGUUUAUCAAAUAAGGGACUGUGGCUAUAUCGCUGACCUCAAGAAAACCUGCGGACAAAAUCUGCUAAAGAAGUAUCAGCAUCUAUUUCAAAAGUUAGCCAUUAUUUUAAGAAGACUGUGCUGGAAGACGGGUAUUUAACACAAACAGAUGCAAAAGAUACGGGGUUUCACCGUGUUGACCAGACUGAUUUUGAACUUCUGGGCUCAAUCAGUCCACCUGCCUCGGCCUCCCAAAGUGCUGAGAUUAUAGGUGUGAGCCCCUGCGCCUGGCCAGGGAUGCCGUUCUUCACUCUCCAAUUGAGCAGCCAUUAUAUAUCAGGCACUAUAGGAGUUCCUGGAGGAUACUGGUCUGAAGUUAGCAUGAUCUUGACUCAAGAAACUUAUAGUCCUGAUAAGAACUUCCACCAGAAUUCCAGAUUUCCUGAGCGAUCUGGUUGCUAAAAAGAGUCUAGCAGCAUCAUCCGCUCCCUCUCCUCCUCUCUUACCAUGUGAUAUGCACACACCGGCUACCCUUCACCUACUGCUCCAGCACCACGCUUCAUGUACAGCCUGUAGAACUCUGAGCCAAAUAAACCUCUUUUCUUUAUAAA